GUUUCUGUAGUGUAGUAGUUAUCACGUUUGCCUCACACGCGAAAGGUCCCCCGGUUCGAAACCGGGCAGAAACA
rnacentral:tRNA from 1 species